GACGCGAAAGCUCGGGGAGCGAACGGGAUUAGAAACCCCGGUAGUCCGAGCCGUAAACGAUGUUGACUAGGCGUGCCAGGCUUCAACUCUUGGCGUGCCGGAGCAAACGCGAUAAGUCAACCGCCUGGGGACUACGGCCGCAAGGUUAAAACUCAAAGGAAUUGACGGGGACCCGCACAAGCAGCGGAGCGUGUGGUUUAAUUCGAGGCUACGCGAAGAACCUUACCAGGGAUUGACAUGUAUGUAGUAGUGAAGCGAAAGCGGAACGAGCCUUCGGGCAGCAUACACAGGUGAUGCAUGGCUGUCGUCAGCUCGUGCCGUGAGGUGUUUGGUUAAGUCCACUAACGAGCGCAACCCUUAGAACCAGUUACAAGUGUCUGGUUCGACUGCCGGUAUCAAGCCGGAGGAAGGUGGGGAUGACGUCAAGUCAGCAUGUCCUUUAUAUCCUGGGCUACACACACGCUACAAUGGCCGGUACAGAAGGUUGCGAAGCCGCGAGGCGGAGCCAAUCCUGCAAAGCCGGUCUCAGUUCGGAUUGGAGGCUGCAACUCGCCUCCAUGAAGUCGGAGUUGCUAGUAAACGCAGGACAGCCAUACUGCGUUGAAUACGUUCCCGGGUCUUGUACACACCGCCCGUCACGUCAUGGGAGCGGGUUCUGCCAGAAGUAGUUAGCCUAACCGCAAGGGGGGCGAUUACCACGGCAGGGUUCGUGACUGGGGUG
rnacentral:rRNA from 1 species